rnacentral:rRNA from 1 species
UUAGUGGCGCACGGGUGCGUAACGCGUGGGAAUCUGCCCCUUGGUUCGGAAUAACAGUUGGAAACGACUGCUAAUACCGGAUGAUGACGUAAGUCCAAAGAUUUAUCGCCGAGGGAUGAGCCCGCGUAGGAUUAGGUAGUUGGUGUGGUAAAGGCGCACCAAGCCGACGAUCCUUAGCUGGUCUGAGAGGAUGAUCAGCCACACUGGGACUGAGACACGGCCCAGACUCCUACGGGAGGCAGCAGUGGGGAAUAUUGGACAAUGGGCGAAAGCCUGAUCCAGCAAUGCCGCGUGAGUGAUGAAGGCCUUAGGGUUGUAAAGCUCUUUUACCCGGGAUGAUAAUGACAGUACCGGGAGAAUAAGCUCCGGCUAACUCCGUGCCAGCAGCCGCGGUAAUACGGAGGGAGCUAGCGUUAUUCGGAAUUACUGGGCGUAAAGCGCACGUAGGCGGCUUUGUAAGUAAGAGGUGAAAGCCCAGAGCUCAACUCUGGAAUUGCC